rnacentral:pre_miRNA from 2 species
CCAGGCCUGUUAAGCAUAAGUACUUCUUUACUAUCCCAUACUGAACUCAAUUGUAUGGAAUGUAAAGAAGUAUGUAUGGUUAGCAGGCUACCACGU